rnacentral:tRNA from 1 species
GGGGCCGUCGUCUAGCUUGGUCAAGGGGAUCGAGCCCCGCCCAGAGGAUACCAGAGUCCUUCAAAGGACGGUGACCCUGGGGCGCUGGCGACUCCGACAAAAUCGGGGCCAGAGGUCGUGGGUUCAAAUCCCACCGGCCCCA